GCCGGAAUAGCUCAGUCGGUAGAGCAGAGGACUGA
rnacentral:tRNA from 2 species